GAAAAACUCCCCGGUGCGGCGGCGGGUGGCGGCGGCCGGCUCCUCCGGCGACUGGUUCGUCUUCUUCGGCGAGGGUAGGCGGCUAGGGUUUUUGUGGUCAGGUGUGGGGGUUCUAUUUAUACCCUUUUGCCUUUUGAUCACAGCCGUCCAUUUUGAUUAAAUCUGGGCCGUCCGUUUUUGAUUGAAUCUGGGUCGUCCGUGCGCGUGCAUCUGGGCCGUCCGUAUGAUUGCAUCUGGGCCGUCCGUGCGCACGCUUGAUCUGGGCUGUCCGUGCGCGCGGGGACGCAUCUGGGCCGUCUGAUCGCGCGCACGCAGACUGCCCACGUGGCCCGUUCCCUGGUCGACGUGGUCUUGCCACGCGGCAGGUCCUGGUUGGCCAGGGCUGCUGACUGGGCCGCUGACGUGGCGCUUUUUUUU
rnacentral:lncRNA from 1 species